rnacentral:rRNA from 1 species
CCUACGGGAGGCUGCAGUGGGGAAUAUUGGACAAUGGGGGCAACCCUGAUCCAGCCAUGCCGCGUGUGUGAAGAAGGCCCUCGGGUUGUAAAGUACUUUCAGUGAGGAAGAACGCCUGGUGGUUAAUACCCAUCAGGAAAGACAUCACUCACAGAAGAAGCACCGGCUAACUCCGUGCCAGCAGCCGCGGUAAUACGGAGGGUGCGAGCGUUAAUCGGAAUUACUGGGCGUAAAGCGCGCGUAGGUGGCUUGAUAAGCCGGUUGUGAAAGCCCCGGGCUCAACCUGGGAACGGCAUCCGGAACUGUCAAGCUAGAGUGCAGGAGAGGAAGGUAGAAUUCCCGGUGUAGCGGUGAAAUGCGUAGAGAUCGGGAGGAAUACCAGUGGCGAAGGCGGCCUUCUGGACUGACACUGACACUGAGGUGCGAAAGCGUGGGUAGCAAACAGGAUUAGAUACCCUAGUAGUC